GACGAACGCUGGCGGCGUGCUUAACACAUGCAAGUCGAACGGAAAGGCCCUGCUUUUGUGGGGUGCUCGAGUGGCGAACGGGUGAGUAACACGUGAGUAACCUGCCCUUGACUUUGGGAUAACUUCAGGAAACUGGGGCUAAUACCGGAUAGGAGCUCCUGCUGCAUGGUGGGGGUUGGAAAGUUUCGGCGGUUGGGGAUGGACUCGCGGCUUAUCAGCUUGUUGGUGGGGUAGUGGCUUACCAAGGCUUUGACGGGUAGCCGGCCUGAGAGGGUGACCGGCCACAUUGAGACUGAGAUACGGCCCAGACUCCUACGGGAGGCAGCAGUGGAGAAUAUUGCACAAUGGGCGGAAGCCUGUUGCAGCAACGCCGCGUGCGGGAUGACGGCCUUCGGGUUGUAAACCGCUUUCGCCUGUGACGAAGCGUGAGUGACGGUAAUGGGUAAAGAAGCACCGGCUAACUACGUG
rnacentral:rRNA from 1 species